rnacentral:lncRNA from 1 species
UUUUUUUUUUUAAAGUAUAGAUAAUCAACAAAUUUACCGAAUUUGUAAAGAAAGGUAUUACCCUAACAAUUGGACUUUUACUUAGCAAAAGUUAGCAUCAUUUUUACAACUCUCAAACAGUUUCUGUGUUUUCAAAUGAAUCGUAGUAACUUCUCCCGAUUUGGCCAUAAUAUCUAGGCCGAGUUUGGGAUGUUACAAUUUAUUCCCUAUCCCAAUUAGGUCCUAGUUCAAUUAAAAUCUAUUUUUUUUCAAAUUAGACCUCAA